GACGUAGGGCGCGAGCGUUGUCCGGAUUCAUUGGGCGUAAAGGGUGCGUAGGCGGCGCGGUAAGUCGGGUGUGAAAUCUCGGGGCUUAACUCCGAAACUGCAUUCGAUACUGCCGUGCUUGAGGACUGGAGAGGAGACUGGAAUUUACGGUGUAGCGGUGAAAUGCGUAGAUAUCUGGAGGAACACCGGUGGCGAAGGCGGCGUUCUGGACUGCAACUGACACUGAGGAACGAAAGCCAGGGGAGCAAACGGG
rnacentral:rRNA from 1 species